AGUGAACGCUGGCGGUAGGCCUAACACAUGCAAGUCGAACGGCAGCACAGUAAGAGCUUUCUCUUACGGGUGGCGAGUGGCGGACGGGUGAGGAAUACAUCGGAAUCUACUUUUUCGUGGGGGAUAACGUAGGGAAACUUACGCUACUACCGCAUACGAUCUACGGGUGAAUUCAGUGGUUCUUCUGACCUUUCGCGUUUCUAUUAGCCGAUGUCGGAUUAGCUAGUUUGCUGGGUAAAGGCCCACCAAGUCGACGAUCCGAAGCUUGUCUGAGAGGAUGAUCAGCAACACUGGAACUGAGACACGGACCAGACACCUACGGGAGGCAGCAGUGGGGAAUAUUGGACAAUGGGCGCAAGCAUGAUCCAGCAAAACCGCGUGGGUGAAGAAGGCCUUCGGGUUGUAAAGCCCUUUUGUUGGGAAAGAAAAGCAGCAGGUUAAUACCCAGCUGUUGUGACGGUACCCAAAGAAAAAGCACCGGCUAACUACGUG
rnacentral:rRNA from 1 species